AUGUCAUUCAGCGAACAGUUUUAUACCUGAUUUAUUGCAAACCGUAAAUAUUUUAAACCAAAAUUCUGUGAAUAUUCGUCGAUUUAAGAAAGAAUAAUUCUUCAUCUAAUCGAAUCGAAACCAGUACAAUAAUUCAAAGCAUCGACUUUUUUUAGUCGAAUCAGCGAAAUUUGUUUUAGAAAAAUAAAACUUUCUAGUGCAAGGUGAAAUUAUUGGCAUUUCUGUGAGUCGCACCAGUUGAUUUCAUUUGGUCAGUGAACUUUCUAGCGCAAACAACUGCUCAAGCUACGACGAGUCAAAUAUUCGUGAGAUUUUUUAUACGUUAAAUCUUCGUAGGUAAGUAACAGACACACUGGAAGAUCAAAGAUAAUAUUUACAAACAACCUGAAGAAAUAAGUGCUGCUAAAAUAUCUCUCGUUAGUAUUUUCGAGAUUGAAAGAGAAGAAAAAUGGCAAAUAAACCAAACUACGACAUUGUUCUGAGUCAAGAAACCGUGAACCAGAUUGUGUCGCACAAAAAUGAUCUAUUUGCAAACAAAUUGAAGCCGGGAUUUUAUUGAAACAAAUUUUGGACACGACUAAAUCACCUCUCAAUGAAAUAUCUACUGAACGAUUCGUAGAAUGUUUGUUGUUGGCCAAAAAACCGAUCAUUUUUGCAACACAUGGGAUCAACGGAGGCGGUGUGGAUUGGAAUGACAUGUAAUUCCGGAUAUUGAGUGACAUCAACAUUGCGAUGAAUUUGACAAUUUACGACAACGGCGUUUGGGUGCCGAAAAAUGCACGUUUCCGUGUAUACAAUCCACCGUUGAAUGGAGCGUUUAUUAUUUACACCUGGUCCAGUGCUUCGAAGCAAAAAGAAGGCGGCAAUGAACCCCGAUAUGAAAGAGGUCAUUUCUGGAAAUGCCUUCGAUUAAGACAAUUACAAUCGACUGAUGGAGAGACGGCUGAUGCCACUUUUUUAUUACGCCAACGAGAAUUUAUUUUUAUUAUUUUUUUGAACAAUGCAAUAUAUAUAUAUGGAUAUGGAAUAUUACUUCGACUUUUUCGUCUGGAGUAGCUCUAAAUGGCUAUAGUGACGAGAAUGCAAAACAGGAUAACCAACAGGCCUUUAUUACGAUUCCGGGCGUGGGGUGUGGAGUGUUUGCGGGACAUUUUCGCGGCAAAAUGGCCGAAAAUUUGAAUCAAGCAUUGCAAUACAAUUUGAAGGAGCACGCAAAACACUACGACAAUAUCGCUUGCAUCUAUUUCGAUUCGUUUGACGAAUGCACAAAUUAAAUGCAUCAAAUUGACGGUGUGAACUCUCGCGUACGGCUGACGUCUCAAAAUCCACAAUUAUGCGAUCCAAAGCAUUACGAAGAGCCUGUUGACUAUUUUUCCAACUGCAAACUACAUGAAGUCUUUGCUUGGGAUCAUGUGUCAUUUCCUGGUAAUAAUUACUUCAGAGCAUCCAGAAAAACGGAUGAUGGCGUUUCGGCGGCGGCCACCAAUUCCAUGGAAGUCAUAACUGGAAUCAAAGGAAGUUACCACAAAGGCGAUUACUUUCCAUCCGAAGGAAACACAAAUUGGGAAGACAUGGUGAAUAAAAACCACAUCACUCUGCGAGCGAAAGAUAAUGUGAAAGUUGCUACGGCCGAUGGAUUGUUGAUUGACCUAGAAGGAUGAAUAUGAGAACAAUAUUUUAAGAUUCUUGGUGAUGAUUUUCCCCUUGUUAAAGUGUAUAUAAUAAUACCAGAAUGAUUCAAAAAAUGUUAUUUGUAGCUAAAAAAGAAGUAAUAAUCAAGUUGUGUGAAUAAAUUUCUAUUUUCACUGACUCAAAUUUGGCACCUUACACACACUAGCAUCUUUUUUAUCUUUAAAUAAAUUGCUUAAAGUAAAACAUUGUUAUCACAGAUUCGUAACUUUAUCAGAAAUCAUAAUGUCAAUAUAGAAUACAAAUUACGCAAAAGGCACUUUUAAUGUGUGCAGUGUGUACGCUGUCAGAUUUGUGUUGAUCACUCGAAGAUUUAUUUAUUUUCCUAAGACAAUCUUGUAUACAUCUUAUUUCCUUCUUUAUUAUUUUAAGAAGAUUUUAUUUUGUGCAGUCCAAAUCAAUUCGAAACAGAUUCUGUGUAAUAUUUGCUAUACAAUAUUAUAUUUAUUUGGAGCAGGUAUAAUAAAUAUUUUAAAACUAAUUAAAA